GAUGAAGAACGUAGCGAAAUGCGAUAAGUAAUGCGAAUUGCAGAAUUCAGUGAGUCAUCGAAUCUUUGAACGCACAUUGCGCCCUGUGGUAUUCCGCAGGGCAUGCCUGUUCGAGCGUCAUUUCAACCCUCAAGCUCUGCUUGGUGUUGGGCCCUGCCCGCUGCGGCCGGCCCUAAAGACAGUGGCGGUGCCGCCUGGCCCUGAGCGUAGUACAUCUCUCGCUCCAGUGCCCGGUGGUAGCCUGCCAGAACCCCAACUCUCGUGGUUGACCUCGGAUCAGGUAGGGAUACCCGCUGAACUUAAGCAUAUCAAUAAGCGGGA
rnacentral:misc_RNA from 1 species